rnacentral:rRNA from 1 species
UACGGGAAGGGCAAGCGUUAUCCGGCGUGACUGGGCGUAAAGCGUGCGCAGGCGGUGAUGUAAGACAGGUGUGAAAUCCCCGGGCUUAACCUGGGAACUGCAUUUGUGACUGCAUCGCUGGAGUGCGGCAGAGGGGGAUGGAAUUCCGCGUGUAGCAGUGAAAUGCGUAGAUAUGCGGAGGAACACCGAUGGCGAAGGCAAUCCCCUGGGCCUGCACUGACGCUCAUGCACGAAAGCGUGGGGAGCAAACAGG